AGAUUUAUUUAUAAAGAAGCCUGUCUGUGAUAUUGAUUACGGUGCUAUUUAUUGGUAUAUAGUUAUAAAAUGGACAAUAAUUGGAAAGGAACAAGCACCGAGUUAUCUAUUCUAAAACAGAAUGUAUUUAGUGAAUAUUCUAUAGUAUGACAUUUCAAGAUUCCAGUGAAUAAAAAAGACCCUGGACAAGACCAUUAAUUUGAAACAUUCUCAAGAAAAGAAAGACAUUCCGUCAAAUGUUCAAAAGUUUAAAAUUGAAAUAUGCUCUUGAAAAAUGACAUUCCUGUGUUGCAAUAUACCAAAAUUGUUCCAUUUGUUUCUAUUUGUUUCGUAUUUUGUAAUAUUAUUAAAAUGUUGUUUACAUUGUUUAUAUAAAAUAUAUUCAAAAAUU